UGGGGAAUUUUGGACAAUGGGCGCAAGCCUGAUCCAGCCAUGCCGCGUACGGGAAGAAGGCCUUCGGGUUGUAAACCGCUUUUGUCAGGGAAGAAAUCUUCUGAGUUAAUACCUCGGGAGGAUGACGGUACCUGAAGAAUAAGCACCGGCUAACUACGUGCCAGCAGCCGCGGUAAUACGUAGGGUGCAAGCGUUAAUCGGAAUUACUGGGCGUAAAGCGUGCGCAGGCGGUUUUGUAAGACAGAGGUGAAAUCCCCGGGCUCAACCUGGGAACUGCCUUUGUGACUGCAAGGCUUGAGUGCGGCAGAGGGGGGAUGGAAUUCCGCGUGUAGCAGUGAAAUGCGUAGAUAUGCGGAGGAACACCGAUGGCGAAGGCAAUCCCCUGGGCCUGCACUGACGCUCAUGCACGAAAGCGUGGGGAGCAAACAGGAUUAGAUAGCCCUGGUAGUCCACGCCCUAAAACGAUGUCAACUGG
rnacentral:rRNA from 1 species